ACUCCUACGGGAGGCAGCAGUGGGGAAUAUUGCACAAUGGGCGCAAGCCUGAUGCAGCCAUGCCGCGUGUGUGAAGAAGGCCUUCGGUUGUAAAGCACUUUCAGUCGUGAGGAAGGUAGUGUAGUUAAUAGCUGCAUUAUUUGACGUUAGCGACAGAAGAAGCACCGGCUAACUCCGUGCCAGCAGCCGCGGUAAUACGGAGGGUGCGAGCGUUAAUCGGAAUUACUGGGCGUAAAGCGCAUGCAGGUGGUUUGUUAAGUCAGAUGUGAAAGCCCGGGGCUCAACCUCGGAAUAGCAUUUGAAACUGGCAGACUAGAGUACUGUAGAGGGGGUAGAAUUUCAGGUGUAGCGGUGAAAUGCGUAGAGAUCUGAAGGAAUACCGGUGGCGAAGGCGGCCCCCUGGACAGAUACUGACACUCAGAUGCGAAAGCGUGGGGAGC
rnacentral:rRNA from 1 species